GUGAUGCCUGGCCCCGCCCACCGCCCAGUUCAUCCCAGUUCAUCCCAGUUCUUCCCAGUGCCAGCUCGGCCCAUUCAAUCCCCAUUGAUUCCAGCCCUUCUCGGUGCCCCUGGUUUCCAUCCCAGUCCGCUCCCAGUGCAGCCCAGUUGGAUCCCAUUGAUUCCCUGUUCAUCCCAGUGCCUCCCAGUUCUCUCCCAGUACAACCAGUGUCUCCCAAGAGUCUCCCAGUAAACCCAGCUCCCACGCAGUUCAUCCCAGUCCCUCCCAGUCCCUUUCCAGUCCAUCCACUCCAAUUCCAGCCCCUCCCCAUCCUUCUCAAUCCCAUCUCAUUACAUCCCAGUCCCUCCCAGUUUCUCCCAGUCCCUCCCAGUCCAACUCCACUCUUUCUCAUUCCACCCCACUCCCAUCCCAUCCCUCCCCACUCUCUCCCAGUCCCCUCCCAGUCCAUCCCAGUGCUCCCAGUUGUGACCGCUCUCCCUUUGCAGCGCCUCCAUAUCUCCGGAUGAGGAGAAGAGCGCGGCGGCGGUGGCUGCGGUGUGCGCUUACCUGAGGCUGCUGGGGGUGAAGGCGAAGGGCGGCGGCGACGCCAAGAAGCCCCGAGGGCAUUUCUUCCGGAAGAAGCUGCCGGGGGGGCGGAAGGCGGAGGAGACGAAGCCCAAAAGGGGAUUUUCGUUGGCGGGGGCGGCGCUGUGGGGCAGGGAUGGUGAGAAACCCCACUAAAAAC